rnacentral:rRNA from 1 species
UAAUACAGAGGGUGCGAGCGUUAAUCGGAAUUACUGGGCGUAAAGCGCGCGUAGGCGGCUUCGCAAGUCGGAUGUGAAAUCCCCGGGCUCAACCUGGGAACUGCAUUCGAGACUGCGUUGCUAGAGUAUGGGAGAGGGAAGUGGAAUUUCCGGUGUAGCGGUGAAAUGCGUAGAUAUCGGAAGGAACAUCAGUGGCGAAAGCGACUUCCUGGACCAAUACUGACGCUCAUGUGCGAAAGCGUGGGGAGCAAACAGGAUUAGAUACCCUGGUAGUCCACGCCAUAAACGAUGAGAACUGGAUGUCGGGAGGGUCUGCCUCUCGGUGUCGUAGCUAACGCGUUAAGUUCUCCGCCUGGGGAGUACGGCCGCAAGGUUGAAACUUAAAUGAAUUGACGG